GAUGGACGCUGGCGGCGUGCCUAAUACAUGCAAGUCGAGCGAACAGACGAGGAGCUUGCUCCUCUGACGUUAGCGGCGGACGGGUGAGUAACACGUGGAUAACCUACCUAUAAGACUGGGAUAACUUCGGGAAACCGGAGCUAAUACCGGAUAAUAUAUUGAACCGCAUGGUUCAAUAGUGAAAGACGGUUUUGCUGUCACUUAUAGAUGGAUCCGCGCCGCAUUAGCUAGUUGGUAAGGUAACGGCUUACCAAGGCAACGAUGCGUAGCCGACCUGAGAGGGUGAUCGGCCACACCGGAACUGAGACACGGUCCAGACUCCUACGGGAGGCAGCAGUAGGGAAUCUUCCGCAAUGGGCGAAAGCUUGACGGAGCAACGCCGCGUGAGUGAUGAAGGUCUUCGGAUCGUAAAACUCUGUUAUUAGGGAAGAACAAAUGUGUAAGUAACUAUGCACGUCUUGACGGUACCUAAUCAGAAAGCCACGGCUAACUACGUG
rnacentral:rRNA from 1 species